UAAAAAUGAGGAUGGCAAGCAAAACCUAGAACAACAGAAAAUACCGAAUAAAGAAUGGGGACGGAAGCAGGAGCAGGAACAACAGAAACAAGGCAAAAAGAAAAGGCUGAAAGAUCCAAGAAGUACUUAAGGUAUGAAGAGAAAUGGAAGUGUUAAGUGCAUCUAGGCAGGCAGGCUAUUUAUAUUUUUAAAUUUGAUUAUUAGAUAAGUAUAUAGUGCAACAUGAUAAAUUGCUGUUAAAACUACUUAUAACCUGAAUAGAACUAUCCAUUAAACUGUUAUGCAGUAGUCAUUCUUCAUUAUGAAUGAGCUGAGAACUGAUUACUUACAGCAAAUUCCACUCAGCAAAAACCAUUCUAUUUUCAAGGAUGCUUCUCCUCUUCUGAUCCACAUGUCAAUUGGACAUAGUUAAUUCACUUAGUUGCUUGAGGGAUUUUUCCAUCCUACCGGGGGUUUCUUUUGUCAUCUUGUGCUUCUACUAGCCUCUUGGACUCUUUUCAUUUUGACCACAAAAGAUCUUCUAAAGAAUUGAAGUUCAUAAUUCGCAGGUAGAAUAAGAAGGCACAUAGGCAUGACUUCCAGGAUCUGAACCCAGCACUGGCCUGAUUAAAAUUAGUGUAAGAAUUUAAAGAAUUAUUUCUGUCUCCAUGUUAUAUAGAAUCAAUCCUACCUUUUGGCAGAUUUCUUCAUUGAAGCAGAACGAAAUCCACAGGAAAAACAAUAACAAGGGGAGCCUCUUAGUUGUUCUUCUGAACCAAUGGCUUCUUCUGUUGAAGGACAAAUGUCCAUAUGUAUGUGAUAUGCAACCUGUCCAAGACCCUGCAAAUUAAUCUGCAAGUUCAAGUGUGGUAGAAGGAAAAGUGUGGUUUCAUCCACAAUUGAAGAAUCACUAAAUAGAGAUGAGCAAAUAGUAGUACAUUCAUCAAUUUUAUUGUUGUAUGGAAUUGUCUUUAUGUUGUUGUGUUUCAAAUGAGAGUACAGCUGUAUUGUGCAGCUGAUUUUAACAGAUUCAUUGAAUAUAACCAGUCUAAGUUGGUAUGAAAUUGAUAGGCAUUUUCAAUGUCAAUAUAUGUAGUAAUUGCUGUUAUCUAAGAGGUAUUAGUGUCUAUUUAUUUUCAUCCUCUCCAGAAUGAACUUUGAACGACAACUUCAAAAUCAUCACUAAGCAAUGCUUGGUAAUCUGCAGCUAAUAAUAAAGAAAUGUUUGGAUCAAGAUAUUAAAUAAAUAUUUGGGCUAGUCUAUUAACUUUUAUUGAAGUGUGAUUUAGCCAAUUAAAAGUAUACACUUAUGACUGAUUCAAAACCUGUUGCAGCUCUUUCAAAAUUAUGAAUAAAACUAAAACUUCUAAUACUUUUCUUGUUCUUUGAAAAAGAAUGAAAUAUUUUUUAUUUAGGUAGGAUGUAGAAUUUCUUUUCCUAUGUGAAAGAAAUACAUGGUGAAUGUGAUACAUACAAGGCCCACUAUAAACACAUUAGCUAAAAAGGAAAUUCAGUCAGAGAAUCCCCUGUUGAAAACCCACUGUUCUACUUAGAACUUCCCUAAUCUUAUUGUAAGGUUAAUCCUGUCUCAGAACUGUUAAACAUUUUGAUCAAAAGGCUAAGGAUAGAGAGAAUUCUGAAGCAGUGAGAAAUCUCUAUGCUAUGGAAAAUGAACAUGGAAACUUCCCAAAAUCUCUUAAUACUUCCAAUUUUCUGAACAUGUUAUUACCUGAAGAGAUUACAUAAGCUAUCAUGCCAUAUUAGAUUAGAUAUUAUCAAAUCAUAGCCAUAUUUUAAAAUCCACUGAGCAAGCAGUAUCUCUCAUAAUGUAUUACAGUUUAUAGAAAAACCUAAGAUAUCAAGCUAAUUAUGUUGAUGAAAUUUUGUAGAUUUGAAAUGGAAAUGGCCAGUCUAUGUAUUCACCUACCAGACCUUCUACAAAUGGUGGAAGUUCCUGCUGUGCUUCACUUUGAAUUUCCAGUUCUACAAAACCUCCCAUCUUUCUUCCAACACAUUCCAGGUUACAUGCAUGGGCUACUGCCUAUUUUAUCCUCACAAAAAACUAGGAAUGAUUUAUGCUGUUAGGCAUUAUCUCAACCUGGAACAAAAGGAAGUAAUAUGGUCAUUCUUUUUCAACAUGGCAUCCUCCAGAUAUGCUGAAAUUGAAACUCCACAAAACCCCAUCCUCCUAACAAGGCCCCAGAAUGGAGAAUGGUGUCCUGACCUAGCCCACUUGAUUUUACCUCAUAGUAUUCUUGGUAAUGUUGGCUUACCAAAUGAAGUGCAUGUUCCUUGUAUUUGGCCUAGAAUUUUCCACAAAUCCUGUAGCAGAAAUGGUUGCUUUAGGUCUGAGAGGAAAAUCAUGGAAGCUGCUCAAAGGCUUGCUAGUUUGUAUAUGUUGCAUUAGCAAAACAACCACCACCCUGUCCCUUCAAAAGAUAGAACUGGCAAGAAGCUAUGUUGAUUCAUUCCUGACAUAUCCUAUUUAGUUUAAUUAUGUAUUCCAUUCUUCAUUUUCUCUCUCUCUUGAAUGUAAUAAUGGUACGGUUAGGAUGGCUCAAAAUUCAUUGCAAUAUUUUAGCAUACAGGAAAAAAUAUUAUUCAGAUUUGCCAAGAAAUUUAAUGCAAGGAUAACCAAGCAAAAUUUUAAAGGGUAUUUUGUACAUUUAGGCACUGAAAUAUACAUUUAUUUAUAUUUUUAAACCACAAAUUGAGAAAUUAUUUUUAAGAAUAUAGGACUUCAGAAAUACUAGUCAUUUGAUAUGCUUUCUUUAGAGCUUGAGAAUUAGUAUGUAUCAGCAUAAUAACCAUGUGUUUUAAAGAAGUACUUAAUGUACAUAGAUAGCCCUUGCCUUAUGACCAUUCAUUUAAUGACCGUUCAAAGUCAUAGAGGUACUGAAAAGGGUCACUUAUGGCCAAUCCUCACACUUACAACCAUUACAAUGUCCCAGGGGAUUACAACAAGCAAAGUCAAUAGGCAAAGUUGAGUUUGCUUCAUGAAAGCAUGAUUCACCAUGGUAAUUCGCUUAACAAUUGUGGCAAAACAAUAUGUGAAAUAGGCAUGGUCCAAUUAACAACUAUAUUCCUUAGCAAUGGACAUUCCAGGCCCAAUUGUAGUCACAAGUCGAAGAUUACCAGUACUUGUAUGUAUAUUUUACCCUUCAGUACUUUCACCUUGUUUUGUUACAGUAUUUAAAAUUGGGAAAGUGAAGUAAUAAUGAACAAAAAUAAAUAACUCAACUGAAUAGCAACUUAAGAGAAAAUGAUUUAAUAGCAUAUUAUAUUUCCUAGGUCUCUUAGCUACCUUAAAUAAAAAAAUAUUUGUAACUGAAGUAAGUGAGAGAUCUAAACUUUGUGUAAUCUUUCAAAGAUAAAUAAGCUUUUAGAAGUUAACAACAAAUAGGUAAAAAAAGUAAUGUGUUCAGAAACACACACACACAUUGUAUUCGUUCAAAGCAGAAAAAAGCAGAACCCUAUUAGUACAGCAGGUGAUGUAUAAACAAUUUCUAUAAAAGAAAUUCAUCUCAAAAUCAUGAGUGUUCUUACUGUAUUCUAGGGAUGUGUGCUCUUCAGUCAUAAUGCUAAACACAUUCUACAUGCAAGGAGAGAAAAUUAGGGCAAACUUAGCAGUAUUGCCUCCUCUAUUUUCUUUGCCUUCAGCUCACGCUGGAUGUUUGUCCAUGGAAAAUGUCCCAGUGAUUUAGAGAAAUAUGAAAAAUCAGAAUUCUAAAUCAAGGGAAAAAUUGAUAUCAUUUCAUUUCUAUUUCCUGCUAUUCUUCUCAUUCUACAUAUAAAAGGCGAGUAAAAGUUGAGGGAAUGGAUUGGAGGUUACAUGUUCAUCGGCCUGUUUACAUAAUACGGCUUAUAGGAGGAUACAGCGAUGGAGAUAACAUCCACAGUAUCUCCAGUUUUUACAGAAAAAGGUAAAAUAUAAUUUUAAUCUGAUUGGAAUGAACAAGGCUCCAUAACUCCACCAAAAAUUUGGGUGAGUUUUAUGAAAGUCAAGAAUACUGUAUUGCCCAGAGUUUAUAUCAAAUAUGGCCGAUGAUACUGAAUUGCUACAUUUAUCCUAAACUUGAUAAUGUUAGCUAAGUUAUAACUCUUAUUUUCAGGUUAUCCUAUUUUUGUUGUAUAAUUGUGUUAUAAAUGGCUACUUAAAUUUAUGGAAAAGGCAGAAAAAAAUAAUAUCUUAGAUUCAGGUUUCUUUUCACUGCAAUUUUUCAAAGGAGAAAAAACACAUUUAAUCGCACAUUAAGGUUAUUAAUGCUGAAUAAUCAGCUAUUGAGAAGUCAAAUUAUGUACUUGUAUAUCUGAAAUGAACAUCAUUAGCCUCAAAAAGUUAGUUUGAAAAUGGAUGGUCAAUGUUUUGGGAAAUUAACAUCCCAAAAUCCAAUUAUCUUAAAUUGAGAACCUGUUUUUUUUUUAAGGUUGGAAGUAGCUUUGGAAACUUCGACAUAUUCCACAUUUCAUUGAUAAGCUUCACAUAUAUUGUGUACUUAAAUUGCACAAGUCUAAAAAUCCAUGAACUUUUAUCAAUCACUGAUCUAAUUUUCCUUCAGGAUUCAACAGAAAUUAGUUUGGUUUUAAAUUUAAUCCUUUUAAAAUGUAUGCUUUAAUUUAUGAACGUGAAACUGAAGGAACAAUACAUAUGAUAGACUUCAUAAAAUAGUGAUAUAUUAAAAUAAUUUGGUCUUUCUUUUUAGUAAAUAGAACUAUGUUCCUAUGAAAAAAAUAUUCCUGGAUCUUUAAUAACUUUAUUAAAACUUUCAUUAAAUUGAUUAUGUCAUAUAAAUUAGAAGAGACAUAUCUUAAUGCUUUAUUUCAAUAUGUCUAUUUAAGUCGUAUUUAUUUCAGACAAAAUAGUAUUGUUUGACUCCAGUUUCUCAAAAAUGAAUUCUGUAAAUUCUUUGUUUAUAUAUAAUCUGUCUUUCUUAAGCUGAUUUGUACUUACCCUACAAAAUGUUAGUAAUGGGUUUUCCUUUCAAUCAUGCAAAUUACAACAUAGUUAAGGAGAGUCUACCACACUUAAGAUUUAUAGUUAAAUAGUGGUGUGCUAUCCAUAUUAGUGAUUGUAAGAAUUUAAGGAAUUUGUUGAGAUUUUUAUAUUAAACUCCAUUUGUUAGAUUGUAUUAACUUAAUAUAUUAACCUCAAUAUAUUAAUAACCACACAUAUUAAUAUACUAAUUAAUUAAUAACCUCAUAUAUUAAUUAACCUCAUAUAUUAAUAUAUUACUUUUAACUAUUCAGUUAGCUUUCCCCGCUUAAAUAUGGAAGUAGGAUUUUAAUCUGUUUUAGUAUUCCUAGAAGGGACACCACAAAUUUCAGAUCAUUUACCCUUAAAUAGGAAAGCAAAUCAGUCUCAUUAAAAUUACCAUGUCACAGAGAAGCCUCAGUGGUGUGAAAUUAUUCUACUUCGAAGAAAUGUUUGUAGUAUAUUACUGAUCUGAGAACAGCACGGGUAUAGCCUGCUUAGCUUCAUACUGCCGGGUUCCAGGGACUAAUGAAACUGCAUUGAUUUAUCAGAAAUGAUACAAAUAAGCUUUUGUAAAAAGAUCAAUCAAAUGGUAGCUAACAUUUUUAUCAAAUGUAUGAGUAGGAGUGAAAAAUUUAGUGAAUAUAUAUUGUUCGGUGGUUAGGGAAGCAAAGUUGAGUGUUUUCAUUUGACUAAUUGGGGACUUUAAAAUGUUGCAAACAAUAAAGCCUGUAAUAACCUCACCAUUACCCAACCCUACAGAAAAGCUAGCUUUGAGUUCCAGAAUGGAAAUCAGAUUUCAUAAUGCUUUUUAUUGCACACAAUAAAAACAUACUCAUGCUAACUGACCUGAUUUGUACCACCAUCCCGAAGAUAAUUCAGGUUCAGAGUCUCAUAAAUAAGCUCUUAGCAUGAGAGCUAAUAAGAAAACCUUUCCCAGAAGCACCUAAUAAAUAAAGCUCCUGUUUCUUUAAGAUGAGCUCCUUUUGCUUCUCUAAAGAUAUAAGGAUACAAUAAUCUUGAGAGAAACCAGAGGAUAGCUUUUACCUCAUUAAUAAAUUAAACUGUUGCCCUAACUAUAAGCCUGACCGUAGUACCAAAAUAAAAACAAAAAAGUGCAAAUGUUCUUAUAUUUACCAAAAAUUUAAAAAAGAUAUGUGUUUUCUUUUUAACUUCUAGUAGUACUGCGGCAAAAGAAAACCACAUACAUUAAUAAUUAAUAUGGACAAAUAGUUCUGGCAAUCCAAAUAUUGUUUUAUACAUGGUUAGGAUUACCAGAUAUCUGAACAGGCAAAGGAAGACACACUGGUUAUCCUUCUUGGCAUCCGCAACAAAAAUUACAGUAAAAAACUGACAAAAAAGUUUAACAACCAGUU